rnacentral:rRNA from 1 species
UGCUGGAGGUAUCAGAAGUGCGAAUGCUGACAUAAGUAACGAUAAAGCGGGUGAAAAGCCCGCUCGCCGGAAGACCAAGGGUUCCUGUCCAACGUUAAUCGGGGCAGGGUGAGUCGACCCCUAAGGCGAGGCCGAAAGGCGUAGUCGAUGGGAAACAGGUUAAUAUUCCUGUACUUGGUGUUACUGCGAAGGGGGGACGGAGAAGGCUAUGUUAGCCGGGCGACGGUUGUCCCGGUUUAAGCAUGUAGGCGGAGGUUCCAGGUAAAUCCGGUACCUUAUUAACGCUGAGGUGUGAUGACGAGGCACUACGGUGCUGAAGUAACAAAUGCCCUGCUUCCAGGAAAAGCCUCUAAGCAUCAGGUAACAUCAAAUCGUACCCCAAACCGACACAGGUGGUCAGGUAGAGAAUACCAAGGCGCUUGAGAGAACUCGGGUGAAGGAACUAGGCAAAAUGGUGCCGUAACUUCGGGAGAAGGCACGCUGAUAUGUAGGUGAAGCCCCUGCGGGUGGAGCUGAAAUCAGUCGAAGAUACCAGCUGGCUGCAACUGUUUAUUAAAAACACAGCACUGUGCAAACACGAAAGUGGACGUAUACGGUGUGACGCCUGCCCGGUGCCGGAAGGUUAAUUGAUGGGGUUAGCGGCAACGCGAAGCUCUUGAUCGAAGCCCCGGUAAACGGCGGCCGUAACUAUAACGGUCCUAAGGUAGCGAAAUUCCUUGUCGGGUAAGUUCCGACCUGCACGAAUGGCGUAAUGAUGGCCAGGCUGUCUCCACCCGAGACUCAGUGAAAUUGAACUCGCUGUGAAGAUGCAGUGUACCCGCGGCAAGACGGAAAGACCCCGUGAACCUUUACUAUAGCUUGACACUGAACACUGGUCCUUGAUGUGUAGGAUAGGUGGGAGGCUUUGAAGCGUGGACGCCAGUCUGCGUGGAGCCGACCUUGAAAUACCACCCUUUAAUGGCUGGUGUUCUAACGUAGACCCGUGAUCCGGGUUGCGGACAGUGUCUGGUGGGUAGUUUGACUGGGGCGGUCUCCUCCCAAAGAGUAACGGAGGAGCACGAAGGUUAGCUAAUCCUGGUCGGACAUCAGGAGGUUAGUGCAAUGGCAUAAGCUAGCUUGACUGCGAGAGUGACGGCUCGAGCAGGUGCGAAAGCAGGUCAUAGUGAUCCGGUGGUUCUGAAUGGAAGGGCCAUCGCUCAACGGAUAAAAGGUACUCCGGGGAUAACAGGCUGAUACCGCCCAAGAGUUCAUAUCGACGGCGGUGUUUGGCACCUCGAUGUCGGCUCAUCACAUCCUGGGGCUGAAGUAGGUCCCAAGGGUAUGGCUGUUCGCCAUUUAAAGUGGUACGCGAGCUGGGUUUAGAACGUCGUGAGACAGUUCGGUCCCUAUCUGCCGUGGGCGCUGGAGAAUUGAGGGGGGCUGCUCCUAGUACGAGAGGACCGGAGUGGACGCAUCACUGGUGUUCGGGUUGUCAUGCCAAUGGCACUGCCCGGUAGCUAAAUGCGGAAAAGAUAAGUGCUGAAAGCAUCUAAGCACGAAACUUGCCCCGAGAUGAGUUCUCCCUGACCCUUUAAGGGUCCUGAAGGAACGUUGAAGACUACGACGUUGAUAGGUCGGGUGUGUAAGCGCAGCGAUGCGUUGAGCUAACCGAUACUAAUGAACCGUGAGGCUUAACCUUACAACGCCGAAGCUGUU